GCCCUCGUGGUGUAGUGGUCAGCACGCUCGACGUGUAUUCGAGAGGUCCGUGGUUCGAGUCCCGGCGAGGGCU
rnacentral:tRNA from 1 species